rnacentral:rRNA from 1 species
AGUGAACGCUGGCGGUAGGCCUAACACAUGCAAGUCGAACGGCAGCACAGGAGAGCUUGCUCUCUGGGUGGCGAGUGGCGGACGGGUGAGGAAUACAUCGGAAUCUGCCCAAUCGUGGGGGAUAACGUAGGGAAACUUACGCUAAUACCGCAUACGACCUUCGGGUGAAAGAGGGGGAUCGCAAGACCUCUCGCGAUUGGAUGAGCCGAUGUCGGAUUAGCUAGUUGGCGGGGUAAUGGCCCACCAAGGCGACGAUCCGUAGCUGGUCUGAGAGGAUGAUCAGCCACACUGGAACUGAGACACGGUCCAGACUCCUACGGGAGGCAGCAGUGGGGAAUAUUGGACAAUGGGCGCAAGCCUGAUCCAGCCAUACCGCGUGGGUGAAGAAGGCCUUCGGGUUGUAAAGCCCUUUUGUUGGGAAAGAAAUCUUUCAGGCUAAUACCCUGGGAGGAUGACGGUACCCAAAGAAUAAGCACCGGCUAACUUCGUG